rnacentral:rRNA from 1 species
UACGGAGGGUGCAAGCGUUAUCCGGAUUCACUGGGUUUAAAGGGUGCGUAGGAGGGCAGGAAAGUCAGUGGUGAAAUCUCCAGGCUUAACUCGGAAACUGCCGUUGAUACUACUUGUCUUGAAUACCGUGGAGGUGAGCGGAAUAUGUCAUGUAGCGGUGAAAUGCUUAGAUAUGACAUAGAACACCAAUUGCGAAGGCAGCUCACUACACGAGCAUUGACUCUGAGGCACGAAAGCGUGGGGAUCAAACAGG